GUUACCCUGUAGCGCAAUGGGUAGUGCUUUGGACUUCUAAUUCAAAGACUGUGGGAUCAAAUCCCACCUGGGACG